UCUGGUUUAACAAAAAAAUUGUACCAAGAUUAGAAUAAUAUUAAUAAGAAUGUUGGGCUCCUAAACAAACAAACCGAAUUAAAGAUAUACGUUUCUAUAUAUUCUUUUCGUCGCCCGUGUGCUUUAAGUCAAGACAGUACACUCAUGUUCUUUAAACUGAACUGCGAUAGGCCUACAAAGUAUGGCAAUCAACAUCGACAAGGGGUAAGCGAUACAUGAUCACGCUUUCGUAUGUAAAAAGCAAUCGGCUUUCCUGUUAUUCAAGUCUGCGCAUUUUCAAUCACUUUAUAAAUGAAUACUAUCUUCCUAAAUAGUUAAAUUCACUCAAAUAAAGUGCGAUGUUCAGACGGUCAAUCUAUUUAGUGUAUGUCGUUGUGUUUUGUUUAAUACAGAUCUCGGAAUCGACAUUUGCGAGGAGAAGACUAUUACUGGACAAUCCUCCAAGCUUGCGGAUAAGUUCAUAUGAGGAUAAAUAUAACCCUUCAAUCCAGGAAGAUAUAUUGCAAAGUGAUUUAACAACGAUGUGUGUUUCGCAUCCGUGUGAUUAAUUGUUUUGUAAAGAUCCCUUGUCGGUUAUGACGUCAAAGAAUAUGCAUAAGAACUUAAGUGUAAUGCAUUUAGAAAUAAAUAAAACCCGGGUAUAUAAGUUG